ACGCUACGCCCUCCGCCGCCUAAAACGCUACGGAGGUUAGAGCGGUCCGCCACCGCGCGCGCCUCUCCCGGUAGAGUUCCCCGAGCCACGAUAAACGCUACUCAUUUGUCCCUGUUCGGGCGCCAAAUGAGGGGAAACCUGGGGAGACCCCCUAAGUUUCCCACAGGAAACCCUACGGCGCGGGAAGCUCCACACUCAAUGUGAGUUUACGGCUUCUACUUUAUUGUGACAACACACCAUCUUAUAUAGCAUAUAUGCUUCCAGGGAUACAGGGUCCAGGGAUACAAGCUCUAUGCAACGCACACGCUAACAAUAUCGUUGCCCGAGUAAUCUCCAUAUAUGGGAUAUGUUGUUAACUACAAUACUAUGGAUACAGAAUACUAUGGAUAUGCUGAAAUAUACUAGAACACACUGGAAACACCACAUUCCACGUAUCUAGGGAUUACAUCAUUAGAUCAUAAAUCAUUAGUAAAUCAGUAACUACGUGCUGCCGAGCACUGCCAAGCAAGCUGUUUCCCAACAAACACUGGAUGUGAGAACAGUGAGGUGGUGAGUGCUGCAUUUCAAUAGUGGCGACAGCGAUGUAAAAAGCCACAUUCCAGACAUCCGUGCAGAUUUGUACAAGUGUGGCGUGUGGACUCUUUUUCAUUACUGGCAAAAAUGCAUAGCAGCUCAUAUCCAUGCCGUGGCUGUUUUGUCUUCGUCUGAUUUGCUGCCUUUUCAGUUCUUCAAUUCAUGUUUAUUGAGGUAUGACAGAGUAAAAUUUUAAAGUUUGCUUUUAAUGGCUCUGCUGAGGACUACUCUGCUGUUGAUACUGUGGAUUGCUACUCUUUGUAACAGCAGAAAUUCUGAUUCCCUUCAAGCUGCUAUUGAUUUUGGCAAAGAGAGAUUUCACCUCCCCUGUUUGCAAUGCACUGUGCUCUUUAAAUUGUGCCAUCAACAGCCACCCAUUAUCUGCUGCUCAUCCGGCAGGUCGCUGCACUGAGAGGGCAGAAAACCUCUUGCUACACUGCAGUGUGUCACACCACCAUUUGUGCCUUUGCAUAGGCUGUGUUGUGAAAUUAAUCCUGUCUGAUACGUGAAAGACUUGAAGAAGUCUCAGAUUAGAGUGUCCAAAUCAUUCCUGAUUUUGGAAAAGAUUAACAAUUAUAGCCUUAUUUUGAAAGUUAAAUUUGAGACUUUUUAGCAGUCAGUUUACCAUGCUGAUAAUAUGAUUCAUGCUACAAUAGGUAUCCGUUCAUGCAGUAGGAAUGUAGAAGUAGAAAAAAAUCUUAUAUUUAAAGCAGGUCAAAAUGAUGUUGUGGCUGACACCAAAAACACUUUGUAACAACAACAAAAAAAGUAAUAUAUCAUAGAAGUAGCAGAAAGCAGGUAAACACAUACAACUGUAAUGUCAGUCAUCCACAAUGUACUAUUCACUUAAGAACUGAAAGGGUAUAAAAUAUUUAAAGUGAGGAAAAGAAGGCCAAGUGUGGCAGAGAGAGAAAAAUGAAGAUCAACACAAUUGUUCACAAAAAUAUAUAUUCUUAUAUUAAGGUCAUUGGGCUCAGACACUGUUGAGAACAGUUGAUUGCAGGAUUGGAUUAUUUUAACAACACUUAAUAGUCACAGUGAUCUUUUUCUAUGCAAGCUGAAAAUUCAGUCAGUUUUUUCUUUUAAAGUUCUAAACCCUAUUAUCCAUAUUCCAAAUUGAAAAUGAAGUCCUACGGUAUACUUAACUUUUUUUUUUUCUCAUUGUCAUAAUCAUCAUGUCUUCAUUUCCAAGGAUUUCAAAAAUAAAAGUGAAGUCAUGUCACUUCUGUGUGAAACACUGAGACUGAAAUGAAUGGUGUACCCUGAGAGGACGGACUUGAGAAAUAUGUUUUAUGACGGCUAGCUGGAAAAUGGUAACAGAGGAGCAAAGUGCCGUGGGGAAUGUAGUAGUCCUUCUCUUCUGAGAACCAGGUACAUUCACUACAUGAUGUUAUGAUGUAGAGUACCAAUAACCGAAAAUCAUAAAACCAUGACAACUGAACUCAAAGCUGUUCAUACUUUGUAAUUUAGGAGAGGUAAAAUGUUUUAAAAAUGUAUCAGUGACAAAAAAUCACUGAAUUUCUGAUUUCAUAUUCCAUCUAAACUCAUAAUCAAUCUUUUAUUAGUUUAAUCAGACAUAAUCUUCCCAACAUAGCUUAAUUCAGCAGUGAUACAUAUCAAAAGCUGACUUGACAUCAUAAUUGAACAAGUUGAUGCUGGCGAGUCUAUUCCUUCAACAAGGUAUUUAGUGCAGAGAACGAAGUCCGAGCUGGCCUUUAAUCCAAGGGGGAUGCUCAGAUCCAUCUCUGCCAUCAUCACAUUUUAUUUAUACAGACACAGUCCCCCACAGUGGAACUCAUCUUUAGCAGAUGCUCAAAAUCGGAUGGCUAGAGAUAAUCCUGACAUUCAGACAAGGAUUGAGUUUGACAGCAAAUGAUUUUGUCAGCACUUAAAAAAAAAAAAAAACAACAACAACAAAGGGUGAUGCAGAAGAAUGAGAAGUUUGCCCUUGCCUGCCCCUCAGUUGGUCACACAGCAAUGUCCCCAGCUUGGUGACAUCCAGAGGAGAAACAAAGCUAAAGUCAGCCUGUGUCUGAUGUUACAGGAACUUCACAACUUCUAUUUUCCUCCUCUGUAUCGAAUUCCACCGCAGUUAAAGGUGUCAUGUAAAGAAUUACUGUGUGUGGUGGGAGUGAUUUCUCUGACCCUUGUUCUUAACACAGCUUCCUAACAACCAUUUUUUGUCUGGGCAAUGAAUUGACAUUUUGCUUUACAAUGCUACUUUACUCAUACAGGCUGUAUGAAUGAGUACUGUUGCCAUCUGACUUUAGCUGGAGGUAUUAAAUUCAAACAAGAACGUUUUAAAUUUGAAAUAAGGAUCCCAAAGAUUGUAAUUGCUAUUUUUAUAUGAUUUGGGGGGCUAAAUAAAGAUCAAAACAUAUUAAAAUUUAUGAGGAUUUCUCAUUGGUUCUCACUACUUUUGCUGCUCAGGUUUUGAGGACAGGAUUUAUCACUUUGGAUGUGCUUUACGACUCAAAUAUAAUAGGAAUCUGACAGGUGAUUAUCUAGAACUGAAUAGGUUCCUAUUUAUUGCCUAUGGAGAAAACAAACACUUGGGUUUGAUUAAUUUUGAUCUAUAAAUGAUAUCUUUAACCGUUCAAGAAUCUUUGGCACGAAGGUUUGCAGCAAGUGGAGCUUUGGGAGGAAGCAAGAAGGAGCCAACAUAUGGAAGGAGGCAUUGCUGCAGCAGGACCAGCAUGGACACCCCUGCAUCAGGUUUUAAUAGGACUGUUUGCAAGUGGAAGACUAUUUAACUGCUUUAACUGGCACAGAAUUUUCUCUUAAAGAAUCAGCAAUUGUUGAGGGAAGGACAAAACAGGGAAGUGGAAAAGUCUAAUCUUCAUUUAGAAAAGCACAUAAUUACAGAAUGCAGUAACAUAUUUUCUGUUUGCUACUCACUGCCUCAAAACAGUUUAAACAGCCAAAGGAAAUGAGAGAACAGGGAAGAUUUACAGUAUGUGUUGAUAUUGAUGCUGCAGGCAAAGAGAUAUAGCUAAUUGGCUUUAGACAAUUUUGAAGGGAAUCCUUUUGUAGCAGCAUAGACACAUCAUAUUUUAUUUUAUCUCACAGUGGUGUGCAUAAAGUGGUGUUCCUUAGCUUUUUUUUCCAUGAAGUCUGUUAGGGGCAGAAAGGAGUGGUGGACAACAAAAUUCCCGAUGAAUUUGAUGUCACUUAAUGAGAAGCUUUCUCCUUUUGGGAGAGGUUUGCUGACAUGAGCAGAACUUCCAUUUUAAAAUCUAAAUAUUAGGAAACAAUCACUCCCUGUUUGUUGUUAUUUCUAUAAUUUAAAAUGUGAGAAUAUUAAGUGACAGGAACCUUAAAACCUCCUAAACCAAGGGAAAUUAAUGCAAAAUAACUGCUUGGGUUGAUUAAGAUGUUAAUAUACACGUGUUUCACAAAUGCCAGGUUAUGUAUUCCUUUAAUAAUCCUAUAUUUAAUGCUUAAUAAAAGAUUUAACAUUUUUAAUACUUUCAUGGAGCAACUCCAUACAUUUGAAAUGAUACAUUAAAAAAUCACACAGAAUAUACAAAAAAGAUUGUGUCAAGACCAAAUUAUUAAUGCAGAAUUGCCCAAAACCCUACUUUAAUCAACACUUUGUAGAGGACUGAAGGCUAAUGUAUUUUCUUCUUAUUUCUAGGCAAGCAUCUAUUCUAUAUCUACUCUUCUUUCACAUCUCACUAAGUGUUAUAUUUCUGUUAGCCUACUUCAGACAGUUCUUUGCCAAGCAUAUCUCGAGCAACCUUUUGCAGCCACAAUCUCAACAAUUUUCUUGUUCCAAAUGUGGUAAAUCCUGAAUUACAUCCCUGGAUCACCUUCCAACUCGCUUAUUUGAUGUUCUUUCAGGAAUCUUCCCUGUAGAGACAAUGGAGAGUAAAGGAGCUUGCAGAUUUGACUGAGAUCUUGCUCAGAAAAAAAAAUAAGAUCAUUAGAAACAUAGCAACUUUUUUGCAAAAAUGAAGUCCUUGAAUGUGCAUUGGCCUUCAAAAGUUGCAAUAACACCAAGGACAAUGCGAUUACUAAAGCAUGUAAAUGAAGAAUGUACAUUGGGAGCAUUUUCAAGGAAGGAAUUGCUCCCAUGGCCAACACUUCCACUGGGUGCCUCAGCCAUGUGAAUAGCCCCUCACCAAGAGGCUCUUGAAGACCCAAUUGUUCCAACACUCUGAUAAUGAUGGAUUUCACAGCUGGACAGCUUCUUUAGUAGAACUGCUGACAUCUCAAUUAGCAAAUCCUAAGUACGAAUAACAACAAUUAACCAAGGAAUUUAAGCUUCUUAAACAAAGUUUCUGCAGCUUUCUACAGCUUUCCUGUGUUUUACAGCUUCCAAGUGUCUGGACCAUCCCUUCAUCCUGUUUUACAUACAAACAUCAAAGCUAGUAUUAGCUGAAUCUAAAAACAGAGCUGUGAAGAGAGAAAGGAUCUGUCAUAACCUCAGCUGGAUUAAUUUUACAGUCCCUUCAGUGCUCUGUCAGUCAUAACAACACAUGUUCAGAGCUGAGGAGCCCAACAUGGGUUCUAGGUCUUUUAACAGAGUAGGGAAGUUUAGUCCAGCAAUUCCUCUUAAUGUUGAAAACUGCUUGAUCACUGCGGAUACCUCUUGACAUCACAGUUUGUUGGAUUAGGUCCUAAUUAUUUUGUAAACAUUAAUCUCCCCCAGAAGACAGGUGGAGAAGAGGUGAGGUAUUGAAAACUGAAGGAGUGCCUUUACUGACAUAGAAAAGUGUCUAAAGAUGUGCUGUUGCCAUUUACCUGGCAGUCAAACAUUAAAAGUAUACUCCUUCAUCAGAGGAAUAUCUGCAAGCUAAGCACAUAGCUCAGCCAGUAUUUGUUCAUAGAGACACCAGCCUUACCUUUAUCAGUCUUUAGCCGAAGGUUGAAGUGUUUUAGCUUAGAAACGUACAGUGCAGUAGCUCAUUGUAAAUGGGAAAGUGGAUGAUGACUGGUAGCAAUGAUCAUGAAAUGUGCAUUUGUACAAAGAGUACUGAGUGAAAAUGCAAGCUGUUAAGGUCCCAAUUUCAUUCAAGCUAUUGCAAAAGUUUCUCUAGAUUUACCUGAACCUGUAAAGUGGGAUAAAAUUUUAAAGUAUUUUUUAUACCUGUGAAUAUCAGUGACAUCAGAAUGGAAUCUCUUAUGUCAGCAUGAACAUUUAGGUGUUUAAUUUUGAUGAGUAAACUAAACUUUACUGUUAAAUAAACUUACUGUUAAAUAAUAUAAUAAAGCUAAAAGGAAGAUAUUACAUGUAUUUUCUUACUGUACAUAGAAAACAUUUUUUAGGCUUGACUUUCUGACUAGUUCAUUGCAGUUUUCAAAACAUCUAAUCUACUAAUAAUUACAUUCUCUUACACUGAAAGGAGAACAUAUCUUAGAAAUGAAAGAGAUGGUCACUACAGUUUAAACUAAAAUUUAAAGCAAUAUCAAGAAGUGCAGUAAUGCUCAAAACGUUAGGAUGACUGUCAAAUAGAAAGUCUUAAGGUAGAUCUUAUACUGAUUUCUCAAGUAACUUCUAUAUGGAGUUGAAUCCGAACUGAGUGUGCCCUCUGUUUCUCUCAGUCAGCUCCCUCCCUUGUGUGACACUGGCAGUGCAAAGAAUGUGCCUCCCUACCAGAUCCCUUGAUCCCUUACAAGCAGACAUCCUCACACUCCCGGUUACUGCCAAAGGACUGCAGAUAACUGAAGGGAUGACCCCAGGCACACCCUGAGUUUUGUGUCAGCCUCCUCUUCUCAUGGAAUCACAGUGAACUUUUGAUUCUUUUAUUUUAAAAUUGUCUAGAGAUCUCCAACAUCACUGAUGUUGAAACAGUAUUUAGAGCCAGCACUAGAGAGCAUUUACUUGGAAAGUUUUGUUGAUAUUUUAGGAAAAUUUCUCUCUGUGGAUAGUUUCUGGUUGUAAGGAUCCCAUUACUUAUCCUUACUUGUAAUUGCUAACUGGAUGUAAUUCAGCCUUAAUGAGCUGUGAAACAUUUUGGGUAUUUUUUAAUCAUGUGGGAAGAUUCUUUGUCUAUUAAACAUUUUGACCAUAGGAACUGUAAAGAAAUCCAGAGUUUCAAAACACUCAUUCUUGGAGAUGUGAAACUGAUUAAAGGCAAACACUUUCUUGAAAUGAGCCUUUUUUGUGGACCUACCCUUUCAUUUCUGGCUUAGAGUCACAGCCAUUGCAAUGAAUGACCUACACGGCUGGGGAACUGAGGAAGUUAAAGUGAUAAUUCAAGAGAUAUCACCUAAAUAAUUUGCAAGUUCCUACAGCCAUUUAUUUUUCUUUUAUCUUGAUGUUAAUGUAGUUAGCAUUAAUUAUAAUGCUUUACUGCAAUGAUUCUACAAUGAUAAUUCAUUCCUCUUUUUUGAAUCUGGGAAAUCAGAAUUAAUUUAGUAUUUUGUUGAAGAUUCCCUUGUUAUUCUAUAUGCACCUUCAUGAAACCUGAUCUCACUCACUCAUUUUUAGAAGAGGAUUACCCACUUGUUCUUUUAAUUUUGCACCCAGCUGGCUAACAUGAAAUGACACAAUGGCGAAAAAAUUAAUCUUCACAUUUAUUCUCCAACUUUAUUUGAUUUGACUCAGUCAUAAAAUGAUAGCUAUGUGAACUACGUGUAUAAAUCAUCACCUGCUCAGCUGAUAAAGAGUUGUCCAGUUGGAAGGAGAUAAUUCACUAGCAUUUGGUGCAGCAUUGCCAAGAAGAACUGCCAGGAGGAUGCUGUUACUUUCAUAAAUCUAUAACAGUUUUGGUUCAGAUGAUGGAGUGUUGGUCUGCAGUUAUUUUCUUCUGUUGAAGCUGAAAUGUCCUUAAUUAAUGUGCUUAUUUUAGUUCAAUUAAUAUUUAUAACAUUUUGCCCCAUAAGUUUCCCCUGUAUUCAGUUUAAUGCUAAUUGUUCUAACUCUCAAGUCAUUUUUUGCUGUAGUGACACAAUGUUUGCUUUCUCAGCUGAAUGAUUUUGUUAUGUUUGGUACCUUAGCAAAACAAGAAUUUUCUAUUCGUUAUCUAAAUCAGUGAUUGAAACAUUUUGGUACCUUGCUACUAUCUGAUUGUAUGUGAUGUUUUACGGAUAAGUAUAUUUGGUGGACUUAAUACAAGUCAAUAUUUAAUAAAUGUCUGCCCUAUAGGAACUUCAUCUAAACUGUGAAAUUAAUAAUAAAUGUUUUCAAAUAGA